AUUGUUGCCAGCAGUCGCGGUUAUACAAAUAAUACAAGUAAACUUGUUUGGUAGCAGAAAAAUUAAUUAAAUAAAUAAUUAAUUAUGUUAUUAGGUGAAAUUUUAACAUAUAAAUAGUUUUUUAUAAAGUAAUUGAUGCUGAAAAAUUUUUAUAAUAAACUAGGAUUAGAUACCCUAUUAUAAAAAAUGUAAUUUUAUUGCCAGAGUAGUAGUAGUUAUGGUCUUGAAACUUAAAGAAUUUGGCGGUAUUUUAGUCUAUUCAGAGGAACCUGUCCUAUAAUCGAUAUUCCACGAUGGACCUCACUUCUGCCUUGUAAUCAGUUUAUAUACCGUCGUUAUCAGAAUAUUUUUAAAGAAAGAUAAUUUUCAAUAAUUAUUAUUAUAAUUUAUUUCAGAUCAAGGUGUAGCUUAUGGAGAAGAAGAGAUGGGUUACAAUAAAAAUAUUUAAACGAAUAUAAUUAUGAAAAAAUUAUUGAAGGUGGAUUUGAAAGUAAAAUUGUAAAGAUAAACAAUUUGAUUUUAGCUCUAAAAUAUGCACACAUCCGCCCGUCGC
rnacentral:rRNA from 1 species